rnacentral:rRNA from 1 species
UUUGAAGAGAGAGUUCAAGAGGGCGUGAAACCGUUGAGAUUGAAACGGAUAGAGUUGACGGAACUCGGCUGCAUUCAUUCGGUCGGCCUAGCGGUCCGGCGGCAUCGUCUCCUCGAUGAGGGCGGUGUCGACGGUAGCUGUUGGGUGCUUGACCGGUGUAUUUGUGGCCGGUAUGCGCUGAGAGCUUCGUGAUCACGUGUUGACAUGUGCGUAGUGGACCCGCCCUUUCGGGCGUGGAAACCUGCGCAUGUUGAGGCAUGUUGGCCAUGGGGUUUGAACGUGGCGCGCCUCACUGUGGAGCGCGUCGGCUUCGUGGCGCUGUUGUGGCUGUGGGAAGUCGCUUGCGACCUUCCGUAGUUGGCGAUAGCGUGGCGGGGUGCGGACGCGUCGAGGUGUGCAUCUCGGUGUGAACGUUGACCACCUAUCCGACCCGUCUUGAAACACGGACCAAGGAGUCCAGCAUAUGCGCGAGUCGUUGGGUGCUAAACCUAAAGGCGUAAUGAAAGUGAACUUUGUCUAGAUGCGAAUGAUAUGGGAUCCGUGAUGCUUACGAGCAGCGCGGCGCACCAUAGCCCCGUCCCCGUUGCUAGCAAUAGGGCGGAGGUAGAGCGCAUACGCUGGGACCCGAAAGAUGGUGAACUAUGCCUGAGCAGGAUGAAGCCAGAGGAAACUCUGGUGGAAGUCCGAAGCGGUUCUGACGUGCAAAUCGAUCGUCUGACUUGGGUAUA